rnacentral:rRNA from 1 species
UACGGGGGGAGCAAGCGUUGUUCGGAUUUACUGGGCGUAAAGGGCGCGUGAGGCGGUCACUACAAGUCAGUUGUGAAAUCUCUGGGCUUAACUCAGAACGGUCAACUGAUACUGUUGGACUAGAGUGCAGAAGGGGCAACUGGAAUUCUCGGUGUAGCGGUGAAAUGCGUAGAUAGCGAGAGGAACACCUGGCGGCGAAGGCGGGUUGCUGGGCUGACACUGACGCUGGAGGCGACGAAAGCUAGGGGAGCGAACGGG